rnacentral:tRNA from 1 species
AGGAGUAUAGUUCAGUUGGUUAGAGCAUUUGGCUUAUAUCCAAAUUGUCGGGGGUUCAAGUCCCUCUGCUCCUA